ensembl:lncRNA
CUGGUCUGUAAGGAAAUAAUAGGAGACUGCUUCCUUGGUAUGUAAGAACUGUUCUUCCAAACUCAUGUAUAAGACUGCGGAUUGGCUCUUCAACUGGCAAAAAUCACCAUUCUUCAGCUGAAGAAAAUGAAUCACCCAUUUUAAUGGCCAUAAGGAAUGUGGCACUCACAGAUCAACAAAGAUGCUACUGUCCUUUCUGCAGCAAUGCCCAGCCACCAUUUCCUUGCUGGUCUUGGAAAUCAAACUCCACAACGUGGGUACUGAGAAAAUGCUGGAAGAUGAGAGGACAGCAAGCUCUAUCUGUUCACACACAGUGGAGAGAGAUCAGAGAGCCAAAAGGUGGCAGAAGAGGAAAGCUGAUUGCUGGUCUCAUGCUGUGUCUGCAGACAACAAUGUUCUCGGAAGAAAAGUUUUCCUGUGACUUCUGUGAAAAGAGGAUGGCACCCACAAACACUAGCUUAAAGUCCUGUACAGAGCUUUAAAA